CGGGACGGAGGGCACGGCGAACUGCUGGGAUGUCUGAACUCACACGCCGAGCUAGCCCUGCCUUCAGCCAAGCCCUCUCAGCGAAGCACAGCAGCUACACGGAUGCAUUGAAAAACCCGCAGCAAGCCACAGCAAGGGAACAACAACAACAAAAAGUCACAAAACAAGGAAAUAGUGAAAUCCAAAAGGAUUCCGCAGCCCGGACGGCGCUGGCUCGUACCCCACGAAUGCCACCCAUUAAGAGCAAAGUGACCUUGAUGGCAUCCUGCAAUCAUCCUAAAAAUAUUUUUUCCAAUCUUCAUUGACAGCAAUUAAUGAUCCAGCAUGGUUCAUUACCUUGGUGCUUAAGAGAUGUGUGUGUACCUGUAUGUGCAUGUACAGAUGGAGAUUCACACUCACACACAAACAUACGUAUGCGCACACACAAUUUGUUACACACCUAUUGAAAGCCACAUUGAAACAAUAC